rnacentral:rRNA from 1 species
AACGAACGCUGGCGGCAUGCCUAACACAUGCAAGUCGAACGAGAGCUUCGGGUCUAGUGGCGCACGGGUGCGUAACGCGUGGGAACCUGCCCUUAGGUUCGGAAUAACUCCCCGAAAGGGGUGCUAAUACCGGAUAAUGUCUUCGGACCAAAGAUUUAUCGCCUUUGGAUGGGCCCGCGUUGGAUUAGCUAGUUGGUAGGGUAAAAGCCUACCAAGGCGACGAUCCAUAGCUGGUCUGAGAGGAUGAUCAGCCACACUGGGACUGAGACACGGCCCAGACUCCUACGGGAGGCAGCAGUGGGGAAUAUUGGACAAUGGGCGAAAGCCUGAUCCAGCAAUGCCGCGUGAGUGAUGAAGGCCUUAGGGUUGUAAAGCUCUUUUACCCGGGAUGAUAAUGACAGUACCGGGAGAAUAAGCUCCGGCUAACUCCGUG